rnacentral:rRNA from 1 species
UAACGCGUGGAUAACCUGCCUCACACAGGGGGAUAACAGUUGGAAACGGCUGCUAAUACCGCAUAAGCGCACAGCACCGCAUGGUGCAGUGUGAAAAACUCCGGUGGUGUGAGAUGGAUCCGCGUCUGAUUAGCUUGUUGGCGGGGUAACGGCCCACCAAGGCGACGAUCAGUAGCCGGCCUGAGAGGGUGACCGGCCACAUUGGGACUGAGACACGGCCCAA